rnacentral:ncRNA from 1 species
UGAAAGACGUUGAAGAAGAGGAGUAGAUCAAUUACUGCCUGCAGAGAGAGAAAUCCGUCGGCUGAAAGGUUUCUUAGGCAAGUGUGAUGGAAGGUAGCUUCGGAGUUGCUGAACCGAGAAACGCCGUAUUAGGUUUAGCCGGGCAAUCCCGUUACAGAUGAUGAGAGGGCCAGAAAAGCUUCUGGAAUUAAGGUGGUACCGCGAGCAACCCUUCGUCCUUAAA